AGAAAGGGGAAUUGGGAUUUAGCAUGUGUCGUUUCAACUUUCACGUGAACUGAAACCUCUCUCUCUCUCUCUCUCUCUCUCUCUCGUUUUCAGACCUCCCUCUCGAGCUUCGCCGGAAAUCGCUCCGCCGUGCCGAAGGCGGUGAAGCUCACCCAAACUACACAAUGGUCACACCAACAGACUCCUCUCUAUGUCUUCUCUUCAAUUCUUAACCUUAAUUUCUCAGAUUCCCUCUCAAUCCUCUCUAAUCAGACUAACAAGGAAACCCUAGAUCUAACAGAAAGUUCAAUUAAACAAAGAUGGCGAUGAAUUAGGGCUUGAGAUCAUGGGGGAAAUGUUCAAGGAGCUUACUACUACACUACAAACUCAAGAAAGCAGAAAGAGAUGAAGAAGGAGGAGUCGAUUCAAAGACUUUCCUGGAUGACGAAGAUGGGGAAAAGCGUUGAGGAAAACCGGAGGGGAGAUAAUAAGCUUCUGAAGGCGAUGAACUACGCGAAAUAAAUGCGAGACCACGAUGCGGGAGUCGAUGAUUCAGGUAAGCUUCUUUGAUAAUCUUGCGCUUUCAAUUACUUUCACUUCGUCUUGCUUCUUCUUUUCUGAAUUCUCAGCUUCUCGUUUGGUCUGUACUCUGAGUUUAUUGAGAGCUUGAACGAAAUUUGCUGCGAAUUGAUGAAGACGAUGAGAGAUAAGAUUGGUUGCAGAAUGAGGAUGUUGCAGUUGAUUGAAGCAUUGGACCGUGAUUGAAGAUUGUUGAUUUUUUCUGAAGAAUGAUGGCGAGAGAGAUAGAGAUAUCAGAACGAUGGAGUAGAUGAAGAUUGUUGAUUUUUCUGAAGAAUGAUGGUGAAAGAGAUAGAGGUAUCAGAACGAUGGAGUAGAUGAAGAUUGAAGAAGAUGAGAUGUGAAGAUUGAGAAAGGGUGAAGAAAAUGGUGGAGGAGGCUUGAAUGAAGGUGGAGAAGCCUGUUAUAUAGAUCUUCUCAGGGGUGCUGCUGGUUUGUGAAAUGGUUUUGUCACUGUUAAUAGGUUUAUGUCUGAAUGGUGUGAAUGAAAUGGUAAGGUGCGUGGAUUGGUUUUGCAGGGCUGCAGCCAUGUAUGUCAACUGGUGCAAUGGUAUAAUAAAUGUUGGAAAAGUCGUGAGCAAAGCUUGGAGAACAAUACGGAAAAAUGAAGAUCCAGGAAUAAAUAUAGGAUGAUUAUAUUCUGUACAGGAUUUUUAAUGUCAAAGAUUUGUAAUGAGAUUUGUACUUUGAAAUUUAGAUCUUGUACUUUGGUGGCUUUUUGAAUGUUUGGAAUAUUUUUGUAAAUUGUAAAGGUGUGACUUCGUGUAGCAUGUGACUGGAGGGUAUGUACUUCUUGGAUAGAUAUUCACUGACUUAGUGCAUAAUUAUUGGCAAUGUAUCGGAAUAAGUAUGUCAUAAAAUUUCACAACAAUUACUUUUUUCCUUCUAA